CCUACGGGAGGCAGCAGUGGGGGAUAUUGCACAAUGGGGGAAACCCUGAUGCAGCGACGCCGCGUGUGGGAAGACGGUCCUCUGGAUUGUAAACCACUGUCCCCAGGGACGAAAAUGACGGUACCUGGGGAGGAAGCUCCGGCGAACUACGUGCCAGCAGCCGCGGUAAUACGUAGGGAGCGAGCGUUGUCCGGAAUUACUGGGUGUAACGGGAGCGUAGGCGGGGAUGCAAGUUGGCUGUAAAAACUACCGGCUCAACUGGUAGCCGCACUCAAAACUGCAGCUCGUGAGUGAAGUAGAGGCAGGCGGAAUUCGUGGUGUAGCGGUGAAAUGCGUAGAUAUGAGGAGGAACACCAGUGGCGAAGGCGGCCUGCCGGGGUUCUACUGACGCUGAGGCUCGAAGGUGUGGGGAUCAAACAGGAUUAGAUACCCUAGUAGUC
rnacentral:rRNA from 1 species